rnacentral:rRNA from 1 species
UACGAAGGGGGCGAGCGUUGUUCGGAUUUACUGGGCGUAAAGGGCGCGCAGGCGGCUUUGUUUGUCAGGCGUGAAAGCCCCGGGCUUAACCUGGGAACUGCGUUUGAUACGGCAGGGCUAGAGUUCGGGAGAGGAGAGUGGAAUUCCCAGUGUAGAGGUGAAAUUCGUAGAUAUUGGGAAGAACACCGGUGGCGAAGGCGGGUCUCUGGGCCGUAACUGACGCUGAGGAGCGAAAGCGUGGGGAGCGAACAGG